CAGGUUGAAUGAACACAGUGAGCUGUUCCUCACACCUGGAAUUGUCAAGAGGACCCAGGUCCAAACAGAGUCUUCAUCUGAACUUCCAUGAGUGACAUUCUCUCAAUUGUGACCAACCAAUGCUGCCUGAAACAGUGUCAACCACAACAUGGCGUUGAUUUGUCUGUCCUUAGACCUCCUGAAAAGACAUAUAUUCCUUAGGCUGUUAGCAAGAGGAAGCCCUACAGAGACCAUCUAAUGAUGCUUAACCAUACUGACUACCUGCACUAAAUAUAAUACAGGAAGAUGAUGGUAAGGACAGCAGAACAGAGAUGGAAUAAGAUGCCAGUUCCAUGCAGGUCACAUUUAGCUCCAGAUUGUUUUCACAUCAGAUUUAGCUGGCAUCAUAUCCCAGGAUUCUGCAGUUGGAGUGAACCAGUUCACAGACUGAUGGAAAAAAACAAUGCUUAGUGAAGAAAGAAACACUUCAAAGAAUUUUCUUCCUUUAAUAUCCUUUAACAGGUCACUGAUGGUUUCCACCACGAUUCUUCACUGUUUGUGGUCACUUACAGAGCUGCAGGUGCAAAACAGACCUUUUAAUC